GCCAUAUGCAGUUUAAUGCGUAUCUCCACAGGUUAUGAAUCACGGAAACUGUAUUGAAUCCGGCCCUAAAGUUAUUUUUUUUUUUCUUCCCAACAGGAAUCAAUACAACUACAGCUUUCAAGUUUUCCUAGUUUGCAAGAAGAAGAUAAAACUAAUAAAGAUGACUCCGAGAAAGAAAAGGAGAAAGAUAAAAAUAAAGAAAAAGAUAAAAACAGUGAAAAAAACAAGAUCAGAAUGUUAUCAAAAGAUUGCAGUCAAGAGUAUACAGACUCAACGGGGAUAGAUUUGCAUGAGUUUCUCAUUAACACAUUAAAGAAUAACCCCAGGGACAGGAUGAUACUCUUGAAAAUGGAACAGGAAAUUAUUGAUUUUAUUAGUGACAACAAGUAAGUAGAGCUCUGUACUUGGUUGAGAGGCCAUGUGUGCAUGCAGAAACGCAUCUGAGUGAUUGAUGCACUCAUAUGGACCCCAGCAUCCUGAGCCUUUUUACUGGAACACUGCAAGAUCAGGCUUUUAUUUCCUGACACAUUGUGUCUGCUUAAAAUACAAUGGAUGCAAAUGAAAACCUUUUGCUUUUCCUCUUGCAAUAACUUUUCAAUGGCUUCCACUGGCUCUGCUCAGUUGGAUCCAAAAAUAUUAGUCAAGCUUUCAGCAUGGAGGAUAUGACAUGGGCAUUUCUGAAGAGACAUGCUCAAUCAAAACGCUAUCAUACAGGUUUCCUUGUGUGCUUUGUUAUUCUAGCAUGCUGGAAAAUAAAACUGAACGUCGGGGGGG
rnacentral:lncRNA from 1 species